rnacentral:lncRNA from 1 species
AUUCUAUAAAAUAUCAUGUAAUGACUAGUACUGUGAAGGAAACCAAGAUAGUGUAAGAGGUCAGAAAGUAGAAAAGGAGCUUAUUUUAGGAAGAAUUAUUUAUUUAAGAAGGCAAAAACUUUCUGACAAAGUGACAGCUGAGCAUAGAUCAGAAUAAGGUAAGGGAGAAACACAAAAAUAUCUAGAGAAGAGUGCUCCAGGCAAGAGAAUAGCUGUGGAAAGUAUCUUGGAACCUUCUAGAAGCAGCAGGGUGGUAGAGCAGCCCAGGAAGACACAUAGGAGGCAGACAUGGAUAAAGGUGAGACCAGACAAUGAAAGACUUUGUAGACCUUGCUCAGGGCUAUGAUUUUCAUGCCGAGUUGACAUGAACUGUUGGAACCAUUUUUCUGCUGAGGUCGGGGUGGGGACUUUAUUUCAUGCUUAAAAAAAAAAACAAAACCCUGUGGUCACUAAAUGGAAAAUAUGUGGUAGGUUGGAGGUGAGAAGUAGACUAUUAAUUCUAUUUUUUUC